UUCGCAAUGCCCGAAAGGGUGACGAAGCGACGCCGCGUGUGGGAAGAAGGCCUUCGGGUUGUAAACCACUGUCGGGAGUUAAGAAAUGCAAGAAUGUUAAUAGCGUUUUUGCUUGACUAAGGCUCCGGAGGAAGCCACGGCUAACUCUGUGCCAGCAGCCGCGGUAAUACAGAGGCGGCAAGCGUUGUUCGGAAUUAUUGGGCGUAAAGAGCACGUAGGCGGCUAUAUAAGUCGGUUGUGAAAGCCUUCCGCUCAACGGGAGAACAGCAUCCGAUACUGUAUGGCUUGAGUGUGGGAGGGGAAAGCGGAACUUCUGGUGGAGCGGUGAAAUGCGUAGAUAUCAGAAGGAACGCCGGCGGCGAAAGCGGCUCUCUGGCCCAUAACUGACGCUGAGUGUGCGAAAGCUAGGGGAGCAAACGGGAUUAGAUACCCCGGUAGUCCUAGCCGUAAAC
rnacentral:rRNA from 1 species